GAUUUUUUGUUUGUUUUACAUUAUUCGUUUCGGGAAUUGAAGACUUUGCAGUAUGACUUUUACUCAUUGUUGAAACCCGUACGGGACCUAUAAUUGUUUUAUGUCUCAUUUGGUCUCAUUUGGAGAGUUGUCUCAUUUGCAAUCAUAUCACAUCUUCUUUUUUUAUAUGGAAUACUUUUGAAGUCUGUGGUACGUUGCAAGGGAAAAAAGGGGGGAUAUAGUUACAAAACCUAUAAUGUAAUAGAUAUUAACCAGAGUUAAAUACACAACAAAAGAUAAUACUAUGGUAGCAGUAAUAAUUGUGAAAAAAAACCAAAAAGCAACGAGUAGUCUAUAAAAAACCUGAAGUAUCCGCAAAUUCAAUUUGAGGUCAUAUUUGACUGUAGUGUUCUAUGGCUUUGGUUUGAUACCUCACCC
rnacentral:lncRNA from 1 species